rnacentral:rRNA from 1 species
AGUGAACGCUGGCGGCAGGCCUAAUACAUGCAAGUCGAACGGCAGCACAGUGGAGCUUGCUCCAUGGGUGGCGAGUGGCGGACGGGUGAGGAAUACAUGGGAAUCUGCCCAGUCGUGGGGAUAACGUAUGGAAACGUACGCUAAUACCGCAUGCGCCCUUCGGGGGAAAGUCGGGGACCGCAAGGCCUGACGCGAUUGGAUGAGCCCAUGUUCGAUUAGCUAGUUGGCGGGUAACGGCCCACCAAGGCGACGAUCGAUAGCUGGUCUGAGAGGAUGAUCAGCCACACUGGAACUGAGACACGGUCCAGACUCCUACGGGAGGCAGCAGUAGGGAAUAUUGGACAAUGGGCGCGAGCCUGAUCCAGCCAUGCCGCGUG